GUUUUCCUCUAAUGCCACUAGUAGGGAGAUAUUUUCACGCACACCAAAUUAGUGUCCCAUAAUAUUAUUUGCUAUAGGGGGAGUCUGCCGCCUGACCCGACCUUCCUUUUGUCGGGUUAUAACCGAACACUAGCCUUGGACACCUCACUGAUAACCUAAAAGAAGGACAAAGAACUCCCUCAGACGUUGAAAAAAGAAGACCAAAAAAUCAAAUUGAAACAACUCUAUGACAUUAGCUUCUUUCCAACCCCUA
rnacentral:lncRNA from 1 species